UAAUCUCACUUCAAUAACUUUUGUUGUUAAAUGUGGACUUGGAUGUUGUCGUGUUCAACGACUCAUCUUAAAUGCCUGAGUGUACCCUGCUUUGCAGCGUAUCAGUGUGAUAAACAUCUUCACUGUUAAGUCUUUCGAGACACGCUUGUGUUGUAGGCUCUAUGCUUCUAACCGUCUUUGGACAAUCUCUGACA
rnacentral:misc_RNA from 1 species